GCAAGUCGAACGGACUGAUCCCUCGGGAUGAAGUAGUGGCGGACGGGUGAGUAACGCGUGAAGUAACCUGCCUUCAGAGGGGGAGUAACGUUUGGAAACGAACGCUAAUACCGACAUAACGAUAUCGUUGUCGCAUGGCAGUGAUAUCAAAGGAGCAAUCCGCUGGAAGAUGGACUCGCGUCUGAUUAGAUAGUUGGCGGGUAACGGCCCACCAAGUCGACGAUCAGUAGCCGGACUGAGAGGUUGAACGGCCACAUUGGGACUGAGACACGGCCCAGACUCCUACGGGAGGCAGCAGUGAGGGAUAUUGCACAAUGGGCGCAAGCCUGAUGCAGCAAAACCGCCGCGUGAAGGAUGACGGUUUUCGGAUUGUAAACUUCUGUUCUUAGUGAUGACAAUGACAUUAGCUAAGGAGAAAGCCACGGCUAACUACGUGCCAGCAGCAGC
rnacentral:rRNA from 1 species